rnacentral:rRNA from 1 species
GCACCUUCGGGUGUGACUGCGUACCUUUUGUAUAAUGGGUCAGCGACUUAUAUUCUGUAGCAAGGUUAACCGUAUAGGGGAGCCGCAGGGAAACCGAGUCUUAACUGGGCGUUAAGUUGCAGGGUAUAGACCCGAAACCCGGUGAUCUAGCCAUGGGCAGGUUGAAGGUUGGGUAACACUAACUGGAGGACCGAACCGACUAAUGUUGAAAAAUUAGCGGAUGACUUGUGGCUGGGGGUGAAAGGCCAAUCAAACCGGGAGAUAGCUGGUUCUCCCCGAAAGCUAUUUAGGUAGCGCCUCGUGAACUCAUCUUCGGGGGUAGAGCACUGUUUCGGCUAGGGGGUCAUCCCGACUUACCAACCCGAUGCAAACUACGAAUACCGAAGAAUGUUAUCACGGGAGACACACGGCGGGUGCUAACGUCCGUCGUGAAGAGGGAAACAACCCAGACCGCCAGCUAAGGUCCCAAAGUCACAGUUAAGUGGGAAACGAUGUGGGAAGGCACAGACAGCCAGGAUGUUGGCUUAGAAGCAGCCAUCAUUUAAAGAAAGCGUAAUAGCUCACUGGUCGAGUCGGCCUGCGCGGAAGAUGUAACGGGGCUAAACUGUGCACCGAAGCUGCGGCAGCGACACUAUGUGUUGUUGGGUAGGGGAGCGUUCUGUAAGCCUGCGAAGGUGGCCUGUGAGGGUUGCUGGAGGUAUCAGAAGUGCGAAUGCUGACAUAAGUAACGAUAAUGCGGGUGAAAAGCCCGCACGCCGGAAGACCAAGGGUUCCUGUCCAACGUUAAUCGGGGCAGGGUGAGUCGACCCCUAAGGCGAGGCCGA